UACGAGGAGGGCAAGCGUUAUCCGGAAUUUACUGGGUUUAAAGGGUGCGUAGGUGGGCAGUUAAGUCAGUGGUGAAAUCUCCGAGCUUAACUCGGAAACUGCCAUUGAUACUAUCUGUCUUGAAUAUCCUGGAGGUGAGCGGAAUAUGUCAUGUAGCGGUGAAAUGCUUAGAUAUGACAUAGAAACACCAAUUGCGAAGGCAGCUCACUACGGGAUUAUUGACACUGAGGCACGAAAGCGUGGGGGAUCAAACAGG
rnacentral:rRNA from 1 species